AGCUCGUAGGCGGCUUGUCACGUCGGAUGUGAAAGCCCGAGGCUUAACCUCGGGUCUGCAUUCGAUACGGGCUAGCUAGAGUGUGGUAGGGGAGAUCGGAAUUCCUGGUGUAGCGGUGAAAUGCGCAGAUAUCAGGAGGAACACCGGUGGCGAAGGCGGAUCUCUGGCCAUUACUGACGCUGAGGAGCGAAAGCGUGGGAGCGAACAGGAUUAGAUACCCUGGUAGUCACGCCGUAACGUUGGGAACUAGGUGUGGCGACAUUCCACGUCGUCGGUGCCGCACUAACGCAUUAAGUCCCCGCCUGGGAGUACGGCGCAAGGCUAAACUCAAGGAAUUGACGGGGGCCGCACAAGCGGCGGAGCAUGUGGCUUAUUCGACGCAACGCGAAGAACCUUACCAAGGCUUGACAUAUACCGGAAGCAUAAGAGAUAGUGCCCCCUUGUGUCGGUAUACAGUGUGCAUGCUGUC
rnacentral:rRNA from 1 species